AAAAGCCUGAAUGUAAACCGAGGCCACUGGGUAUUGAGGCUACCCACAGAGGCUGGACCCCUGCUGGCCUACGUGGCUCCUUUGUGUACACAGAGUGAGGCACCCCCUCACCCAGAUAUAACCUAUUGGAUGCACAGUUCAGUAGGCAGCAACGCCUCGGAUCAAAUAAGAAAAAGGGCUGCUGGGAAGGCGGACAGAGACUCCUAGCUCUCUCUCUUGAACUCUGAGAUUCAGACAGAAGUCUUCCAUGGCUCUUUAUCACAUCUGCAAAUUAACAGGAAAAUGACUGCAAGUGGGUCCUGGACCCGUUCUCUUAACGACUGAGCACAUUCCCACCACCUUCUGCUACAUCCUGAAGCUGCCCCGAACACUUGUGC
rnacentral:lncRNA from 1 species